UUAAGUUCAGCGGGUAUCCCUACCUGAUCCGAGGUCAACCAUAUAAAAUUGGGGGUUGCUGGCAAGCGACCACCGAGACUCAGAAGCGAGGGUAUAAUUACUACGCGUAGAGCUCGAUGGCACCGCCACUGAUUUUAAGGCAAGCCGUUGCCGGCAGAGCCCAAGACCAAGCUAGGCUUGAGGGUUGAAAUGACGCUCGA
rnacentral:misc_RNA from 1 species